UACGUAGGGUGCGAGCGUUAAUCGGAAUUACUGGGCGUAAAGGGUGCGCAGGCGGUCUCGUAAGCUGGGUGUGAAAGCCCCGGGCUUAACCUGGGAAUGGCAUUCAGGACUGCGAGGCUUUGAGUGCGGCAGAGGGAGGUGGAAUUCCACGUGUAGCAGUGAAAUGCGUAGAGAUGUGGAGGAACACCAGUGGCGAAGGCGACUCUUUGGCCUGUAACUGACGCUGAGGCGCGAAAGCGUGGGGAGCAAACAGG
rnacentral:rRNA from 1 species